rnacentral:misc_RNA from 1 species
GGAAUUUUGAAAUCCUUUGUGUUUGUUUGUUUUUCCCUCCUCCAGGUUCCUUUGAAUUUCUUGUUUCCCAUUGAAUAUUAUCUUUCUGAAUUUGUGACUUUCUUACUUUUGACCAUAAGACCAUAAGAAUUGGCUUCUGGAAGAGUGGUUUUUUCAUCUCGUUUUCUUUCCUUUGGCUUUUAAAGAUGAAGUGUUUUUUUAAUCCUAAGGGAAAAUCCAAGUCCAAAGGAAUAUACAAAUCCGCUCCAGAGUUAAACCAAGGAGAA